rnacentral:rRNA from 1 species
UACGUAGGGUGCAAGCGUUGUCCGGAAUUAUUGGGCGUAAAGGGCUCGUAGGCGGUUUGUCGCGUCGGGAGUGAAAACUCAGGGCUUAACCCUGAGCCUGCUUCCGAUACGGGCAGACUAGAGGUAUGCAGGGGAGAAUGGAAUUCCUGGUGUAGCGGUGAAAUGCGCAGAUAUCAGGAGGAACACCGGUGGCGAAGGCGGUUCUCUGGGCAUUACCUGACGCUGAGGCGCGAAAGCGUGGGGAGCAAACGGG